UUGUUGGGUAGGGGAGCGUUCUGUAAGCCUGCGAAGGUGGCCUGUGAGGGCUGCUGGAGGUAUCAGAAGUGCGAAUGCUGACAUAAGUAACGAUAAGGAGGUAUCAGAAGUGCGAAUGCUGACAUAAGUAACGAUAAAGCGGGUGAAAAGCCCGCUCGCCGGAAGACCAAGGGUUCCUGUCCAACGUUAAUCGGGGCAGGGUGAGUCGACCCCUAAGGCGAGGCCGAAAGGCGUAGUCGAUGGGAAACAGGUUAAUAUUCCUGUACUUGGUGUUACUGCGAAGGGGGGACGGAGAAGGCUAUGUUAGCCGGGCGACGGUUGUCCCGGUUUAAGCAUGUAGGCGGAGGUUCCAGGUAAAUCCGGUACCUUUUAACGCUGAGGUGUGAUGACGAGGCACUACGGUGCUGAAGUAACAAAUGCCCUGCUUCCAGGAAAAGCCUCUAAGCAUCAGGUAACAUUAAAUCGUACCCCAAACCGACACAGGUGGUCAGGUAGAGAAUACCAAGGCGCUUGAGAGAACUCGGGUGAAGGAACUAGGCAAAAUGGUGCCGUAACUUCGGGAGAAGGCACGCUGGUGUGUAGGUGAAGUCCCUGCGGACGGAGCUGAGACCAGUCGAAGAUACCAGCUGGCUGCAACUGUUUAUUAAAAACACAGCACUGUGCAAACACGAAAGUGGACGUAUACGGUGUGACGCCUGCCCGGUGCCGGAAGGUUAAUUGAUGGGGUUAUCCGUAAGGAGAAGCUCUUGAUCGAAGCCCCGGUAAACGGCGGCCGUAACUAUAACGGUCCUAAGGUAGCGAAAUUCCUUGUCGGGUAAGUUCCGACCUGCACGAAUGGCGUAAUGAUGGCCAGGCUGUCUCCACCCGAGACUCAGUGAAAUUGAACUCGCUGUGAAGAUGCAGUGUACCCGCGGCAAGACGGAAAGACCCCGUGAACCUUUACUAUAGCUUGACACUGAACAUUGAGCCUUGAUGUGUAGGAUAGGUGGGAGGCUUUGAAGCGUGGACGCCAGUCUGCGUGGAGCCAACCUUGAAAUACCACCCUUUAAUGUUUGAUGUUCUAACGUAGGCCCCUGACCGGGGUUGCGGACAGUGUCUGGUGGGUAGUUUGACUGGGGCGGUCUCCUCCCAAAGAGUAACGGAGGAGCACGAAGGUUAGCUAAUCCUGGUCGGACAUCAGGAGGUUAGUGCAAUGGCAUAAGCUAGCUUGACUGCGAGCGUGACGGCGCGAGCAGGUGCGAAAGCAGGUCAUAGUGAUCCGGUGGUUCUGAAUGGAAGGGCCAUCGCUCAACGGAUAAAAGGUACUCCGGGGAUAACAGGCUGAUACCGCCCAAGAGUUCAUAUCGACGGCGGUGUUUGGCACCUCGAUGUCGGCUCAUCACAUCCUGGGGCUGAAGUAGGUCCCAAGGGUAUGGCUGUUCGCCAUUUAAAGUGGUACGCGAGCUGGGUUUAGAACGUCGUGAGACAGUUCGGUCCCUAUCUGCCGUGGGCGCUGGAGAAUUGAGGGGGGCUGCUCCUAGUACGAGAGGACCGGAGUGGACGCAUCACUGGUGUUCGGGUUGUCAUGCCAAUGGCACUGCCCGGUAGCUAAAUGCGGAAGAGAUAAGUGCUGAAAGCAUCUAAGCACGAAACUUGCCCCGAGAUGAGUUCU
rnacentral:rRNA from 1 species